rnacentral:rRNA from 1 species
GACGGAGGGUGCUAGCGUUGUUCGGAAUUAUUGGGCGUAAAGAGCUCGUAGGCGGUUUGUUGCGUCGGCUGUGAAAUCCCGAGGCUCAACCUCGGGUCUGCAGUCGAUACGAGCAAACUAGAGUGUUGCAGGGGAGACUGGAAUUCCUGGUGUAGCGGUGAAAUGCGCAGAUAUCAGGAGGAACACCGAUUGCGAAGGCAGCUCGCUGGGACGUAACUGACGCUGGAGGCGACGAAAGCCUAGGGGAGCGAACGGG